rnacentral:rRNA from 1 species
GACGAACGCUGGCGGCGUGCUUAACACAUGCAAGUCGAACGAUGAUCAGGAGCUUGCUCCUGUGAUUAGUGGCGAACGGGUGAGUAACACGUGAGUAACCUGCCCCUGACUCUGGGAUAAGCGUUGGAAACGACGUCUAAUACUGGAUAUGAUCACUGGCCGCAUGGUCUGGUGGUGGAAAGAUUUUUUGGUUGGGGAUGGACUCGCGGCCUAUCAGCUUGUUGGUGAGGUAAUGGCUCACCAAGGCGACGACGGGUAGCCGGCCUGAGAGGGUGACCGGCCACACUGGGACUGAGACACGGCCCAGACUCCUACGGGAGGCAGCAGUGGGGAAUAUUGCACAAUGGGCGAAAGCCUGAUGCAGCAACGCCGCGUGAGGGAUGACGGCCUUCGGGUUGUAAACCUCUUUUAGUAGGGAAGAAGCGAAAGUGACGGUACCUGCAGAAAAAGCACCGGCUAACUACGUGCCAGCAGCCGCCGUAA